rnacentral:rRNA from 1 species
GAUGAACGCUGGCGGCGUGCCUAAUACAUGCAAGUCGAGCGAACGGACGAGAAGCUUGCUUCUCUGAUGUUAGCGGCGGACGGGUGAGUAACACGUGGAUAACCUACCUAUAAGACUGGGAUAACUUCGGGAAACCGGAGCUAAUACCGGAUAAUAUUUUGAACCGCAUGGUUCAAAAGUGAAAGACGGUCUUGCUGUCACUUAUAGAUGGAUCCGCGCUGCAUUAGCUAGUUGGUAAGGUAACGGCUUACCAAGGCAACGAUGCAUAGCCGACCUGAGAGAGUGAUCGGCCACACUGGAACUGAGACACGGUCCAGACUCCUACGGGAGGCAGCAGUAGGGAAUCUUCCGCAAUGGGCGAAAGCCUGACGGAGCAACGCCGCGUGAGUGAUGAAGGUCUUCGGAUCGUAAAACUCUGUUAUUAGGGAAGAACAUAUGUGUAAGUAACUGUGCACAUCUCGACGGUACCUAAUCAGAAAGCCACGGCUAACUACGUGCCAGCAGCCGCGGUAAUACGUAGGUGGCAAGCGUUAUCCGGAAUUAUUGGGCGUAAAGCGCGCGUAGGCGGUUUUUUAAGUCUGAUGUGAAAGCCCACGGCUCAACCGUGGAGGGUCAUUGGAAACUGGAAAACUUGAGUGCAGAAGAGGAAAGUGGAAUUCCAUGUGUAGCGGUGAAAUGCGCAGAGAUAUGGAGGAACACCAGUGGCGAAGGCGACUUUCUGGUCUGUAACUGACGCUGAUGUGCGAAAGCGUGGGGAUCAAACAGGAUUAGAUACCCUGGUAGUCCACGCCGUAAACGAUGAGUGCUAAGUGUUAGGGGGUUUCCGCCCCUUAGUGCUGCAGCUAACGCAUUAAGCACUCCGCCUGGGGAGUACGACCGCAAGGUUGAAACUCAAAGGAAUUGACGGGGACCCGCACAAGCGGUGGAGCAUGUGGUUUAAUUCGAAGCAACGCGAAGAACCUUACCAAAUCUUGACAUCCUUUGACAACUCUAGAGAUAGAGCCUUCCCCUUCGGGGGACAAAGUGACAGGUGGUGCAUGGUUGUCGUCAGCUCGUGUCGUGAGAUGUUGGGUUAAGUCCCGCAACGAGCGCAACCCUUAAGCUUAGUUGCCAUCAUUAAGUUGGGCACUCUAAGUUGACUGCCGGUGACAAACCGGAGGAAGGUGGGGAUGACGUCAAAUCAUCAUGCCCCUUAUGAUUUGGGCUACACACGUGCUACAAUGGACAAUACAAAGGGCAGCGAAACCGCGAGGUCAAGCAAAUCCCAUAAAGUUGUUCUCAGUUCGGAUUGUAGUCUGCAACUCGACUACAUGAAGCUGGAAUCGCUAGUAAUCGUAGAUCAGCAUGCUACGGUGAAUACGUUCCCGGGUCU